rnacentral:siRNA from 1 species
CGUAUCUUACUCUUAUUUCGAUA